rnacentral:rRNA from 1 species
CACGUAGGGCGCAAGCGUUGUCCGGAAUUAUUGGGCGUAAAGAGCUCGUAGGCGGACUGUCACGUCUGCUGUGAAAAGCUAGGGCUUAACCCUGGCCUUGCAGUGGAUACGGGCAGACUAGAGGUAGGUAGGGGAGAAUGGAAUUCCCGGUGUAGCGGUGAAAUGCGCAGAUAUCGGGAAGAACACCCGUGGCGAAGGCGGCUCUCUGGGACGGUACUGACGCUGAGACGCGAAAGCGUGGGGAGCGAACAGG